rnacentral:rRNA from 1 species
AUGAACAUCACCCUCCUCACCCGCUGGCUCUGGCGCAUUUCGCAAGGACACGGUGGUCUCUGGCUUGACAUUAUCCGGAACAAGUACCUGCGCGGACAGCCCCUCACCUUCUGUCAGAGAUGCGGCGGCUCCCCGUUUUGGCAAUCGGUUGUCCAACUGCUUCCCGUCCUUCGCAUCGGGACCUCCAUCGCGGUUGGAUUGGGUACAGCGACGCUGUUC